GUGCCAGCAGCCGCGGUGAUACGUACGGUGCGAGCGUUGUCCGGAUUUAUUGGGCGUAAAAGAGCUCGUAAGUGGUUGAUUCGCGUCGGAAGUGUAAUCUUGGGGCUUAACCCUGAGCGUGCUUUCGAUACGGGUUGACUUGAGGAAGGUAGGGGAGAAUGGAAUUCCUGGUGGAGCGGUGGAAUGCGCAAAUAUCAGGAGGAACACCAGUGGCGAAGGCGGUUCUCUGGUCCUUUCCUGACGCUGAGGAGCGAAAGCGUGGGGAGCGAACAGGCUUAGAUACCCUGGUAGUCC
rnacentral:rRNA from 1 species